CUUCUAUUUCGCGCUAAAGGUAAUAAAAAAAAAUCCCAAUUUUUUUCCCAAUUCUAUUUCUCAGCUCUCUCUCCCUUCUGAAACCCCAAAUGUCGAAACCCCCAAAUCCCACAAGAUCUUCUCCAUUUUCCCUCCCUCAGCUCACUGUUGGUUAAUUUUUUUCAUUUUUUUGUUAGAUACCUCUUCUUCUUUAAUUUUUCCCCACUGUUUUUUUUCCUUUUUCUUCUUCCUGAUCUCCGACUUGUAGAUGGCCCUCCGACUGCCUGUCUCUUCGCCUCCCUCCCUUCUGCUCCGGCUCAUCUACAGUUGCAUCUCCCUCUUUAUUUUCAGCACAACUGUGUUUGGAGUUUCCACAUAAUCUAUGCAACUAUCUUAUGAUUCUAGAGGGAAUAGUGUACCAACAAUUCUCUUGCUUAUGCAAGGCCACUUAUAUGCUCAAGGAGGCCUAAGGGCAGAAGGGAUCUUCUGGAUCAAUGCAAGAAAUAGUCAAGAGGAGAUUGUUCGGGAUGGCUAGGGAGAAGACUAUUUUCCAUGAAUUUUUUUAGAAAAAAACAAUGGUUGGUAUGCAUUUAUAAAGUAGAAAUGAGGCAACUUUUAGGGAAAAAACAAUGGAGCAGUCUCAGUUGAUGUCAAUGGAUCAUGUAAGAGGGGUAAAUGUUGCAAACUUAGCUGAUAUGGAGCAAAGUCGUAUGCUUGCUAAUACAUUAGCUUAGAACAAUGAUCCUAAAUUUCAUGUUUGUAAGCUAUGGUGUGCUGCAACUCUAUUAUGCUCUUGUUUUCAACAUGAAGAUAUUCUUCUGCACGUGUUUAUUGCUUCUAACUUUCAUAUAUAUUUUUUCCAUGACUUUUUGAGUGUGUGUGAUGAUACAUGUAUUGAUAAUAAUCAAUCAUAAAUGAUUCUUAUAUCUCUCUGUUUUUAGUUAUUGCAUGGGAAGAAAAGUAAAGCACGAGGUCCCUGAAGAUUGAGUCUGUGAAUCUGGGAAGAGAGAUGAAGCUGUCACAAUAGCAAUGAGCAAGGGGCAAUUGUCAGUUUCACAGCUUCAUUCCAAGAAGAAAAAGCCAGUAGAAACUGGUAAAGUUAAGUUCAUUCCUCAUGAAGAAAUCCUUAAGCUAUCUUCAGAGACCUUCAACGAGUCAAGAGAAAUAACUCGAACAAAAUGACAGUAUAUAUCUAGCAAAGUUGGAAUUUCAAAUAAAAAGAUAGAGAAGAAACUAGUCAAAGAACCAUGCGCAUUGUUGCCAUCAUCACUUGAUGUUAGUGCAGGUGGUAAAACUAAGGAUGUUCAAGUAGACCUACCAAAUUUCCCACUUAGUUUUACCUUGUAUAUCACAUAUUUUCCCGCUCCAAAUGUAACUUGGAAGUGGGUAACUUAUCCUUUAAUUUUAUUUCUUUAAUUAUUUUUUCUCUUACUAGAAAAUUCUUGAAUUUCUAAUAAUAAUAAAAAAUUGUGAUGCUGUGAAAUCAUUCCUUGCUUGAAAAGAAAAAUGCUCAGGCAUUUUUUUUUUGGUGUAGCACUCCUUGCUUUAAGGAACACUCAAUGCUUCUUUGUGACUGGCACUUGUGGUUGUAGUUUUGAUAGUUUUUCAUGAGGGCCUCUUUGUUGUCUUUGUUGUUCUCUGUUCUCUGUUUGUAGUUUUAGGUCUUAUAUGUACUAUCUUAGUCUGAGGCUGUCUAGACUGUAAUACAGUACAGGUGAUUUCUUAUCAUCUUUUUUUAAUACAAUUUUGUUUGGUUGGGAUUGAAA